rnacentral:rRNA from 1 species
UACGAAGGGGGCUAGCGUUGUUCGGAAUUACUGGGCGUAAAGGGCGCGUAGGCGGUACUUCAAGUCAGGCGUGAAAGCCCCGGGCUCAACCUGGGAACCGCGCUUGAGACUGGAGAACUAGAGUUCGGGAGAGGAUGGUGGAACUGCGAGUGUAGAGGUGAAAUUCGUAGAUAUUCGCAAGAACACCAGUGGCGAAGGCGGCUCACUGGUCCGGAACUGACGCUGAGGUGCGAAAGCGUGGGGAGCAAACAGG